rfam:Pseudomonas sp. EGD-AK9 Contig_36, whole genome shotgun sequence.
CCCGACAAAGGCAUAACCAGGGCAACCUGGCGACGCAAAGUUACGGGCCCCACCGGGGCCGCCGGACUGCCGAAG